GGGACUAACAGCUUAACCUGUGUGUAUGAUAUAACAUUCAGAUAAGUAAUGGAUUGGGUGAGCUACUUGACAGCUACCAAGAUGAGUAGAAAAGCACUGAUCAUUGCAGUGUUAAGUUUAGUAUAUUGUAGUGCUACUAC